rnacentral:misc_RNA from 1 species
GCCAGCUAUUGGAUGAUAUCAGAGCAAAACUUCUUGAGAAUCUGUCAAAGCUCCAGCAUGCUCCUAGUGUCCAGUUUCAAGAACGACCACCUGAUACUGAUUUCCCUGAGGCUGAUGAAGACCAGGAGUAUGCUGAUGAAAGACAUGAUGCUGAGUCUGAUAUGGAUGUUGAUGAUCGUAAUCCUCCAGUUGAGAAAUUAUGGAGAUCUCCCCAAUCCAUGAGAAUCAAGAGGGAAACCGCUGACAGUGAACUAAAGGAUCAGGAAGCUCACAAAGUCGCGGCAGAAAACAAAGGCGUGGACCUCAUGACCGAAGACAUAUCCUUCUCAAAGGCUUCAGACAUUGGUUCUACAUCAGCGGGUGUGCCGAGUAACAUCAAGAUUGA